CCAGGGAACUCGUCCAAACAUAUUUCAUGACGUCCACUAUCACAAAGAAAACUUCUCUACCUAGAAGUUGAAAGUCCAACUCGGAGCCUGACCCAGUAAAGAUCGAGGAAGCAGAAGACAACAAAGACGCAUUACGCUUUAUAUCAAAGGAAUUGUGAUUCCACGGUGACAAGAAGAGUCCCGUUUGCGUAUGACGUAUUUAGCGUUUUGACUUCGUACUUCGCUACGAACCCAAACAGCAAACACUGGUGAAGUGGAAGUGAGUUGCCUGAAAUUAUGGCUUUGUCUUGGAUACUAGCUUUCAGUUUAGCAGCUGCCUCCUUGACUCGAGUGAUAAGUGGUCGUAAGUAUUAACAUUCGUCAUAAAUGUCUGCAUUUCAAUUUACAGCUUUGUUUUGCGUUUAAGUCGACAGCAUAUCUCAUUUUUACUAAGGU